rnacentral:rRNA from 1 species
AGAGUUUGAUCCUGGCUCAGGACGAACGCUGGCGGCGUGCUUAACACAUGCAAGUGGAGCGACGAACCAGGGCUUGCCCUGGGGCAGAGCCGCGAACGGGUGAGUAACACGUGGGUCACCUGCCUCGAUGACCGGGACAACCCGAGGAAACUCGGGCUAAUACCGGAUGUGCCCGCAAGGGGAAAGGAAGCUUCGGCCUCCGCAUCGAGAUGGGCCCGCGGCCCAUUAGCUUGUUGGUGAGGUAACGGCUCACCAAGGCUUCGAUGGGUAGCUGGUCUGAGAGGACGAUCAGCCACACUGGGACUGAGACACGGCCCAGACUCCUACGGGAGGCAGCAGUGGGGAAUCUUGCGCAAUGCGCGAAAGCGUGACGCAGCAACGCCGCGUGGGGGAAGAAGGCUUUCGGGUUGUAAACCCCUUUCAGUUGGGACGAAGCCUCGGCGGUGAAUAGCCGUCUGAGGUGACGGUACCUUCACAAGAAGCACCGGCUAACUACGUGCCAGCAGCCGCGGUAAUACGUAGGGUGCAAGCGUUGUCCGGAAUUAUUGGGCGUAAAGAGCGUGUAGGCGGCCCCGUUAGUCCGCUGUGAAAGUCCAGGGCUCAACCCUGGAAUGCCGGUGGAUACUGCGGGGCUAGAGUCCGGAAGGGGCGAGUGGAAUUCCUGGUGUAGCGGUGAAAUGCGCAGAUAUCAGGAGGAACACCAAUGGCGAAGGCAGCUCGCUGGGACGGUACUGACGCUGAGACGCGAAAGCGUGGGGAGCAAACAGGAUUAGAUACCCCCGUAGUCC